CCAUUUAAUCCAAGAGCUCAUAUUUCAACCGAUCAAAUAAAAAAUUAAGGGUUCUUUCUAGCGUGAAUGACUUCCUUCUUUCAACUCCAUUUCUCUCUUUCUCGUUUCUCUCUCUUAUAGUCUUAUUCCAAUUUUCUCCCUCCUCCUGGACAUUAUCUCUGCUCUACGAUUCUCACCUUCUUCAAGUUGUCCCUUCGAAUUUCUUCAAUUUUCGCCAAGUAAGUUUACAAUUGUUAGAUUUCUUAUUCAAUUAUUUUCCAUUUUGAUUGUUGAAAUUUGGGUUUCGAAAUUCUUUGUAUAGUGUUCCGCGAUUUUGAUGGAUAAACUUAGGGCUUUUAAAAUUGUGGUUUUGUUUCUGUUUGUGCUACUCCGAUUGCUAUAUUAGGGAUUUUAAUUGCUAUCUUGUUUUCGUUUUUGCAAUUGUCAUUGCUAAUUCAAAGCGUAUUUAUAAUGAGGUCCUAUGUGAAUUCUUCAAUGCAAUGGUUAUUUCAAUUUGGCUUCUGCGAUUGAAAGGGCAGCUAGCAAUACUCAGUAAGCUUGCUAAGAGUAUCGAGUCUUUGACUGACACUCUGGAAGUUGUUAACUAUACAGAUUCCUAACCACUGCGGGCUGAACUACUUCGCUCAAGUAAAGCCAGACAUUGUACAGCGCGUGUAUGGCAUCAUCAAUGUAACAUCCAUUACGAUUAUUAGUUAGAAAGGGCGGCAUAGUUUCGCAAGUCAAGGGCAAGGUGACUUGUGGCUGACUCGGUAAGUUAUAACUCCUUUAUGUUGGCAAUUUCAUCACUGAGAAAACUCCUAACAAGCUCUACUAUUUUUUGACCAGUGCAUCUAAAUUCUGCCUAAAUGUCUUAUACAUAUUAAUGAUUGCUUGAAUGGUUUCAGAAUUUGAUAACUUAAGCAAUAAAGGAUAGGAGAUAGUGUGUUGCCCGUAUCCAACUUUUGUUUUACUUCUGAUUGAUGAGUUGUCUUUGCUUAGUGUCAGAAGGCUUCCCAUGAUUUCAUUAUUAGUUGUGUACUUCAUGGCUUGUUGUUAGGCACAAUUUGAGAGUGACAUGGGUUCUGAUAGUUUUUGGUGCAGGCAGUUGGGGAGUGUCUUGUUUGUGAUCCUGCAGUAUUCUGGAGUCAAAAUUAUUUAUUCCUGCACUGCUGGUCUUGUGGUUGUUUUGAAAUCAUGGAUCAGCUAGGUGGUUCUGAGAUUUUGUUGAUGCAAUCUUGCUUCAGUGUUGACCUGCAUUGACUGAUUAGCAGCUGCAUUAUAUUGACUAUUCUCAGGAGUGUGGUUGCUGCAGGGAGGGGGAGUGGGUACUAGUGCAGAUUUGGUUUAGCCUGGAUUCCUAGUAGUGGUUUCAGUUCGUCUAAGUAGUAGCUUUGGGUAGCUGACUAGCUGUAGCAUUAGGUAUUCUGGUGUGCGAUAUUUAGAGUGUUUAGGUCUUUGAGUGUGUUAAUAUGUCAACUUAGGAGCCUAUAUUAAUCCUUAGCCUCAUGAAGAUGGUAGGAAAGCUAACUAGUUUUUUUAGUAACAUAACUGAAGUAAGUAAAUUAAUAGAACUUAGUAGUAAAUAAAAAGUUGCAGAAGUAGAUAUACAAUUAAAUGGUCAAAAGUGAUAAAUGAGUAUAGAAACUUCGAGUAAUUAAGCAAGAGUUGCAGGCCCUUAGUUCAAGUAUUACUUACACAAAUAAGCUUCUGGUGAAGCAGAUAGUGGAGCCAAAAUGAGCAUAUCCUACCACUGACUAUAAAAGCAUCCAUCAUUUAAACCACCAUUCCAACUGCUUCACAGACUGCAGACCACAAUAAAGCAGACCACGUAAGUACAAACCCUCAACAACUACUAGAAAUGAACUAGGAAAACCCUGCCUGACAUGAAUCAUACCACCACUGAUAUGAGCAAACUAAACAGACCUGUCGUAACUAACUCAACACUUCAAGGAAUAGAAGAUGCAACCUUGCGUUAGUUCAUUUCCUUUAAAUUUUAUUAAUUGAGUUCAUUCUGAAUUGAUUAUUUAAUUAUCUUUUAUUUUAAUUAUCUAUGUAAAUGGGUGGGUUCGGGGAUUGCAGAGUAUUUGAUUGAGUAUGGAUGAUUAGUUCUUCUUCCUUGUGAGUAAUUAUGGCUGAUUGAUGUUGGUUGGAGUUGAAUGCGCCACAAAGAUAGAAGCAUAUAUGAAAUCAGAUUGGUAUCCUCUUAUCUCAAUUCCUUACUUUCCUGUUAUUCUUUCUCAAUUGUGAAUCUUCUGUUCUUCCUCCCUCUUUUUGCAGAUACCUGAAAAUUUUUGAGUGGUGCAGGAAGAUAAUUAGAAGCGCAUAAAGAGAAUAACAUCGUAUUUUUAUAUUUAUAUUUUUAAAUGAUAAUUUUUUUUCUCAUCUUAAUAAUUCGUCAUUUACUUAUUUUGAUGUAAAGUCAUGUCGUUCGACAAUGAGAUUUUUGAGAGGUACUAAUUAUGUAAUGACUUAAAUUAUUUGUAGAUACAUUUUUUUUGGAGUUAAUAAUACCAAUAUUGAUUUUCAUGAAA